AUGGCGUAUGUAGUGGCCAGCAUCUUGAAAACAUUAAGCACACCUCUCCUACAGGAAGCAAUUUUCCUGUAUGGAAUAGGGGAACAAGUCGACAGACUUAAGGCCGAGCUAAGGCGGAUGAACGCCUUCCUUAAAGAUGUGGACAUGAUAGGAGACAGUGAUGAGAGAACAAAAAAUUUGGUAGAAGAAAUACGAGAUCUUGCGUCUGAGUCUGAGAACAUCAUCGAAAUGUUUGUUCUUCAAGCUACGCAGCAAAAUAGAAGGGAACUUAUGGGUUCUCUGAGAAAUUAUGCCUGUUUGAUUUGGCAUUUGAGAGGACGCCAUGAGGUGGGUACGAGGAUAGAAGCUAUCAACAAUAAGCUUGGCGAUAUUGCAAGGGCCAGGUCCAUCUAUGAUGCGCCGCAGAGCAACAACUUGGGGGAAGCCACAAUUUCUAGCGCCCAAAGUUUCAGAGAGAUGAGAAAAUCAUCACCUCUAAAAGUCGAACAGGAUUUAGUGGGGAUUGAGAAGAAAGUGAAUUCUUUAAAGGAAUCAUUAUUGGAUGGAGAAGAACAACUCUCUGUGGUUUUUGUUGUUGGUAAGGGGGAGUUGGGUAAAGAAUUUUUUAAAUAUAUAUACGUGCUUUAUCAUAACGUCUUUUCAAGAAGAACGAUCUAUUAUCUUGAACCAUUGCGAGAAAAUGAGAGUUCGGAGUUGUUCAGCAAAAAGGCUUAUGUGAAAAGCAAUGGAAAAUGUCCCCAAUAUUUGGCAAAUAUUAGCAAUGGCAUUGUGAAUAGAUGUGGAGGGUUACCCCUGGCACUUGUCGUAGUUGGUGGUCUGCUAUCCAUGAAAUUCAUGACUGAGGAUAUAAGGGCAUCAUCGGAAUGGCAGAAAGUGCUUAACGGCUUCAGCUAUUAUCAAGAUAGAGGUAAAAUCAAUACCUCUGAGAUACUAUCAUUAAGUUAUUUCGAUUUACCCUACUACCUUAAACCAUGUUUUUUAGUUUUAUCUACUUACCCCGAAGAUUACAAGAUCAGAAGGACUACAUUAAUACAAUUAUGAGUGGCUGAAGGGUUUAUUGAAAAGCGAGGAGAUGAGAUAUUAGAAGAUGUGGCAGAGGACUAUCUUAAAGAAUUGGUAAGUCAGAGUAUGUUACAGGCGGAAAUUAUGAGCUCGAGUGGACGCAUCAAAUCUUGUGGAAUGCAUGAUCUUUUACGUGACACGUGUUUAAGAAAAGCUGAGGAGCAGAACUUCUUAGGCGUGGUUGCAGUGCACGGAACAAUGCAAAAAUUGGACCCACCAUUGGCUCUUGAGAAAUUGGAAUCGGUUGGAAAGUUAGGGAAGAUACCAAGCUGGUUUGGGAGCCUUCCAAACCUCACCAAGUUGGUUUUAUGUUAUAAUGAAUUCGAUGAGGAGCGGUUCUUAAAGCUCCCAAGAUUAGAGGAGUGGAUGAGAUGGGAAGAAGGAUCCAUGUCAUGCCUUCAACCUCUGGAGAUUAAGACUUGUCGCAAAUUGAGGAAGCUUCCACAAGGUUUAGAGCACACUUCUACCCUCCAACGAGUGCAUUGUUCUUAUUUUGGAAAAGAAUUUAGUGGGAGAGUGUUAGAUGAUGCACCUCCUCAUCUUUGGCGCGAAACCAGAAGGGAUUAUCAUAAUCAAGAGUGGAAACGUGCAGCCCUUUGA